UGUUUCGGCAAGGGGGUCAUCCCGACUUACCAACCCGAUGCAAACUGCGAAUACCGGAGAAUGUUAUCACGGGAGACACACGGCGGGUGCUAACGUCCGUCGUGAAGAGGGAAACAACCCAGACCGCCAGCUAAGGUCCCAAAGUCAUGGUUAAGUGGGAAACGAUGUGGGAAGGCCCAGACAGCCAGGAUGUUGGCUUAGAAGCAGCCAUCAUUUAAAGAAAGCGUAAUAGCUCACUGGUCGAGUCGGCCUGCGCGGAAGAUGUAACGGGGCUAAACCAUGCACCGAAGCUGCGGCAGCGACACUAUGUGUUGUUGGGUA
rnacentral:rRNA from 1 species